ACUCAAGAUGCUUAUCUGUUGUCUCUGCCUUGUCUUGGACUCCAUUGAUGAAGCGCGCUCGUUUAGAAAACAGGUGUUAGUUCAAUUCAAAAUCCAUCUAGAACAGGCAUUGAGAUUGGUCAGCUGGUAAACGCCUGGCUGCGUCAUAUACCUCAAUCAUCAGGUAUCCAUCAUUUUCCUUUUGGCCACAGACACAAUGUCAGCGAGCACUUUGUACUAUGAAUUCUUCAGGACAAGUGAUAAGUUCAAGAAUGGGAACAUUUCUAUUUUAAAUUUUA